GUAACGCGUAUGCAACCUACCUUUUACUGGGGUAUAGCCCGAAGAAAUUCGGAUUAAUCCCCCAUAGCACUGAGCAUUCGCAUGAAUAAUCAGUUAAAGUUUCGGCGGUAAAAGAUGGGCAUGCGUCCUAUUAGCUAGAUGGUAAGGUAACGGCUUACCAUGGCUACGAUAGGUAGGGGGCCUGAGAGGGUGGUCCCCCACACUGGUACUGAGACACGGACCAGACUCC
rnacentral:rRNA from 1 species